UGUAUAAUGGGUCAGCGACUUAUAUUCUGUAGCAAGGUUAACCGAAUAGGGGAGCCGAAGGGAAACCGAGUCUUAACUGGGCGUUAAGUUGCAGGGUAUAGACCCGAAACCCGGUGAUCUAGCCAUGGGCAGGUUGAAGGUUGGGUAACACUAACUGGAGGACCGAACCGACUAAUGUUGAAAAAUUAGCGGAUGACUUGUGGCUGGGGGUGAAAGGCCAAUCAAACCGGGAGAUAGCUGGUUCUCCCCGAAAGCUAUUUAGG
rnacentral:rRNA from 1 species